CCGAGCUCCUGCCCGUGGGGGGCGGCUGCUCUGGUUUGUCCCUGAGGCACAGGGAUUCCCCAAUCCCUCAGCUCUCAGUCUGCCCACCCCGUGGACCCACUGGCUCAUCCAGCAUCGUGUGCGGCCCACCUGUGCCGGCGGCGUGUCCUGAGGGUCUCAUCGGGAAGAAACAACAAACACCCGAGGAAAAUGGACAAAAACGCUGACCACACGUUUCACAGAGAAGAAACCCUAAUGAGCGAGUCUGCUGGCGGCUGAGCAGCAGCGGUGUAGACGGCGACCAGCGGAAGAGCAGCUGUGACCCGGGGGCUGCAAAGCUGACGGAGCCUCAGAUGAAAGGCAAAAUUUCCUGUGCUCUUGAUCUCCCAGUUGUCUCCUGGCUGCUUCCCACUUCCUCUUGAGCUGCGCCCACGAGGAGGGAUAAAGGUACAUUUUUUGCCGAGAAGGCGUGGAUUUUGUGAGUUCCUCCAGCACAGCAGGCGACGCCCCGUCUCCAAGGGCACCGGGGUCCGUGC